UACGGAGGGGGCAAGCGUUAUUCGGAAUUAUUGGGCGUAAAGGGCGCGUAGGCGGCUAGAUGUGUCAAAGGUGAAAUCCCUCGGCUCAACUGAGGAACUGCCUUUGAAACUGUCUGGCUUGAGGCCGGGAGAGGGUAGCGGAAUUCCCAGUGUAGCGGUGAAAUGCGUAGAUAUUGGGAGGAACACCGGUGGCGAAGGCGGCCAUCUGGACCGCAACUGACGCUGAGGCGCGAAAGCGUGGGGAGCAAACGGG
rnacentral:rRNA from 1 species